rnacentral:tRNA from 1 species
GGAAUAUAGCUCAGUGGUAGAGCACCUGCUUAGCAUGCAAGAGGCCCUGGAUUCAAUCCCCAGCACCA